AGAAACUCUGGCUUGAUUUAAACAACAAAGAAGUGUAUUAUUUCAGCAAGAUGGCUACAGAAGUUCUGGAAAUAUACCAGACGUGGCAAUGCUGCAGAGGAAGGAGGGAGAAUAUGCCUUUCUGCAGAUCUUUCUUGGAGGAGAGGCAAGUUUCUCCAAAAUUACUCAGAUGAUUUCCCCUCAUGUGUCUCUGGCUGGAAUUAGGUCACAUGGCCAUUCC
rnacentral:lncRNA from 10 species